rnacentral:rRNA from 1 species
AGAGUUUGAUCAUGGCUCAGGACGAACGCUGGCGGCGUGCUUAACACAUGCAAGUCGAACGAUGAUGCUCAAGCCUGCUUGGGUUGAUUAGUGGCGAACGGGUGAGUAACACGUGGGUGAUCUGCCCUGCACUUCGGGAUAAGCCUGGGAAACUGGGUCUAAUACCGGAUAUGACCCUCCUUUAGUGUGGGGGGUGGAAAGCUUUGCGGUGUGGGAUGAGCCUGCGGCCUAUCAGCUUGUUGGUGGGGUAAUGGCCUACCAAGGCGUCGACGGGUAGCCGGCCUGAGAGGGUGAUCGGCCACAUUGGGACUGAGACACGGCCCAGACUCCUACGGGAGGCAGCAGUGGGGAAUAUUGCACAAUGGGCGAAAGCCUGAUGCAGCGACGCCGCGUGGGGGAUGAAGGCCUUCGGGUUGUAAACUCCUUUCGCUAGGGACGAAGAUGUAUUUUGACGGUACCUGGAGAAGAAGCACCGGCUAACUACGUGCCAGCAGCCGCGGUAAUACGUAGGGUGCGAGCGUUGUCCGGAAUUACUGGGCGUAAAGAGCUCGUAGGUGGUUUGUCGCGUCGUCUGUGAAAUCCCGGGGCUUAACUUCGGGCGUGCAGGCGAUACGGGCAUAACUUGAGUGCUGUAGGGGAGACUGGGAUUCCUGGUGUAGCGGUGAAAUGCGCAGAUAUCAGGAGGAACACCAAUGGCGAAGGCAGGUCUCUGGGCAGUAACUGACGCUGAGGAGCGAAAGCAUGGGUAGCGAACAGGAUUAGAUACCCUGGUAGUCCAUGCCGUAAACGGUGGGCGCUAGGUGUAGGGGACUUCCACGUCUUCUGUGCCGCAGCUAACGCAUUAAGCGCCCCGCCUGGGGAGUACGGCCGCAAGGCUAAAACUCAAAUGAAUUGACGG